GAGAUGCAUUUCGCAAGUAAAAGCAAUACGAUUGGUCCGCCAUGUUGGCUAGCGCAUUUGCGCGUGCUUCUUGUAAGUGUACACGCGUCAACAUGAGAAUAUUUAUUUUAUUAUCUGUCCUCUUUGUUCUCUCUGUUGUAUUCGCUGCACCACAGUCUAAAUUACAGUUUGGGGAAUAUGAUAACAAACAAGUCAUAGAAGAAGUGGUGGUAGAAUCGGUACUUCGUGUGAAGAGUCCCUCCGGUCGGCAAGGGAGGACCAACAGCAAAACGAACCUGGAAGAUGGCGCUCGAGUCGCGGAAACUAAACAAUUGUUGUAAUAAUAAAUAAAGCUUUAUGUUAGUGUAAUAUGUAUGUAUAUGUGUGUGAAAUAAAUUCAAAGAAUCUGUGGUAAAAUAAAUCCUUUCCUUGAUAA